GAUAAGGAGCUUGCUCCUUUGAAGUUAGCGGCGGACGGGUGAGUAACACGUGGGUAACCUACCUAUAAGACUGGGAUAACUUCGGGAAACCGGAGCUAAUACCGGAUAACAUUUAGAACCGCAUGGUUCUAAAGUGAAAGAUGGUUUUGCUAUCACUUAUAGAUGGACCCGCGCCGUAUUAGCUAGUUGGUAAGGUAACGGCUUACCAAGGCGACGAUACGUAGCCGACCUGAGAGGGUGAUCGGCCACACUGGAACUGAGACACGGUCCAGACUCCUACGGGAGGCAGCAGUAGGGAAUCUUCCGCAAUGGGCGAAAGCCUGACGGAGCAACGCCGCGUGAGUGAUGAAGGGUUUCGGCUCGUAAAACUCUGUUAUUAGGGAAGAACAAAUGUGUAAGUAACUGUGCACAUCUUGACGGUACCUAAUCAGAAAGCCACGGCUAACUACGUGCCAGCAGCCGCGGUAAUACGUAGGUGGCAAGCGUUAUCCGGAAUUAUUGGGCGUAAAGCGCGCGUAGGCGGUUUCUUAAGUCUGAUGUGAAAGCCCACGGCUCAACCGUGGAGGGUCAUUGGAAACUGGGAAACUUGAGUGCAGAAGAGGAAAGUGGAAUUCCAUGUGUAGCGGUGAAAUGCGCAGAGAUAUGGAGGAACACCAGUGGCGAAGGCGACUUUCUGGUCUGUAACUGACGCUGAUGUGCGAAAGCGU
rnacentral:rRNA from 1 species